UGGGGAAUCUUGGACAAUGGGGGCAACCCUGAUCCAGCGACGCCGCGUGGGUGAUGAAGGCCUUCGGGUUGUAAAGCCCUUUUCUCGGUGAGGAUGAUGACGGUAGCCGAGGAUUAAGCACCGGCUAACUCCGUGCCAGCAGCCGCGGUAAGACGGAGGGUGCUAGCGUUGUUCGGAAUCACUGGGCGUAAAGGGCGCGUAGGCGGCUGUUUAAGUCGAGGGUGAAAGCCCGGGGCUCAACCCCGGAACGGCCUUCGAGACUGGGCAGCUCGAGACCGGAAGAGGAGGGUGGAAUACCCAGUGUAGAGGUGAAAUUCGUAGAUAUUGGGUGGAACACCAGUGGCGAAAGCGGCUCUCUGGUCCGGAUCUGACGCUGAGGCGCGAAAGCGUGGGGAGCAAACAGGAUUAGAUACCCCGGUAGUCC
rnacentral:rRNA from 1 species